AGAGCGAACGCUGGCGGCAGGCUUAACACAUGCAAGUCGAGCGGGCGUAGCAAUACGUCAGCGGCAGACGGGUGAGUAACGCGUGGGAACAUACCUUUUGGUUCGGAACAACACAGGGAAACUUGUGCUAAUACCGGAUAAGCCCUUACGGGGAAAGAUUUAUCGCCGAAAGAUUGGCCCGCGUCUGAUUAGCUAGUUGGUGAGGUAAUGGCUCACCAAGGCGACGAUCAGUAGCUGGUCUGAGAGGAUGAUCAGCCACAUUGGGACUGAGACACGGCCCAAACUCCUACGGGAGGCAGCAGUGGGGAAUAUUGGACAAUGGGCGCAAGCCUGAUCCAGCCAUGCCGCGUGAGUGAUGAAGGCCUAGGGUUGUAAAGCCUUUUGAGGGAAGAUGAUGACGGUACCUCCGAAGAAGCACCGGCUAACUACGUGCCAGCAGCCGC
rnacentral:rRNA from 1 species